UACGUAGGGGGCAAGCGUUGUCCGGAUUCAUUGGGCGUAAAGAGCGUGUAGGCGGCCGCACAGGUCCGUUGUGAAAACUGGAGGCUUAACCUUCAGACGUCGAUGGAAACCGUGCGGCUAGAGUCCGGAAGAGGAGAAUGGAAUUCCUGGUGUAGCGGUGAAAUGCGCAGAUAUCAGGAAGAACACCCGUGGCUAAGGCGGUUCUCUAGUACGGUACUGACGCUGAGACGCGAAAGCGUGGGGAGCGAACAGG
rnacentral:rRNA from 1 species